rnacentral:rRNA from 1 species
UACGUAGGGUGCAAGCGUUGUCCGGAAUUAUUGGGCGUAAAGAGCUCGUAGGCGGUCUGUCGCGUCUGCUGUGAAAAUCCAGGGCUCAACCCUGGACCUGCAGUGGGUACGGGCAGACUAGAGUGCGGUAGGGGAGAUCGGAAUUCCUGGUGUAGCGGUGAAAUGCGCAGAUAUCAGGAGGAACACCGGUGGCGAAGGCGGAACUCUGGGCCGUAACUGACGCUGAGGAGCGAAAGCAUGGGGAGCGAACAGG